rnacentral:misc_RNA from 1 species
AACGCACAUUGCGCCCCUUGGUAUUCCAUGGGGCAUGCCUGUUCGAGCGUCAUUUACGCCUUCAAGCACUGCUUGGUGUUGGGUGUUGUCCCUGCAGACUCGCCCUAAAUAUAUUGGCAGCCGGCAGUCGGUGUAGAGUGCAGCACAUUGUGCUCUCGCAGACGCGCCGCCGUCCCACAAGACGCCUAAUGUUUGACCUCGGAUCAGGUAGGGAUACCCGCUGAACUUAA